rnacentral:rRNA from 1 species
GAUGAACGCUAGCGGCAGGCUUAAUACAUGCAAGUCGAGGGGUAGCAAGAUUGUAGCAAUACAAUUGUUGACGACCGGCAAACGGGUGCGGAACACGUACACAACCUUCCUACAAGUGGGGAAUAGCCCAGAGAAAUUUGGAUUAAUACCCCGUAACAUAGCGAUGUGGCAUCACAUUGCUAUUAUAGCUUCGGCGCUUGUUGAUGGGUGUGCGGCUGAUUAGAUAGUUGGCGGGGUAACGGCCCACCAAGUCUACGAUCAGUAGCUGAUGUGAGAGCAUGAUAAGCCACACAGGCACGGGGACACGGGCCCGACUCCUACGGGAGGCAGCAGUAAGGAAUAUUGGACAAUGGACGCAAGUCUGAUCCAGCCAUGCCGCGUGAAGGAUUAAGGUCCUCUGGAUUGUAAACCUCUUUUAUAAGGGACGAAAAAAGGUCUUUCUAGAUCGUCUGACGGUACCUUAUGAAUAAGCACCGGCUAACUCCGUGCCAGCCGCCGCGGUAAGAC